GCCAUUUUUCUUUCUGUUUAGUACAUUUCGCAUCCAACCUGGAGGAUCGAAGAGGUGAGAAAUUGAAUUUGAGCCCUAACACACAAACUCAACCUUGAAACCCUAACACCAGCAUCACCCAUGAUCAGUGAUCUGAGAAUAGCCAGAGAGAAAACACCCCAAGAAAUCAUCAUGUAAACACUCUUCUGAGGAGAUGCUCUUUGAAGGUCAUUUGUUGUGUCUCCUCAAAGCAUGGCUUCAAUUUGUCCACAGAUGUUUGUCCAGAAUCUACGAAGUAUACUUAUUAAGCAUGGUUUUUUGGCAAAGUAUCCCCUAGAGCCGAAUUGAUUCAAACGUGGGACUAAAGAUACAGACUUAAAGCAGAAGAUGGGAAGAUUGACAGAAGAAGCUUGUCGUUUGUCAUAGGAUGCCACCAUUAUAAGCUGAUUCUGUACUUUCUUUCAAGA